AUUGGUGACGAUAGCUUAGGUGAUACACCUCUUCCCAUCCCGAACAGAGAAGUUAAGACCUAAUACGCCGAAAAUAGUGUAAUGCUAAGAUAGGUAGUCGCCAGUU
rnacentral:rRNA from 1 species